rnacentral:rRNA from 1 species
AACCAGCACCUCAAGUGGUCAGGAUGAUUAUUGGGCCUAAAGCAUCCGUAGCCUGUUCUGUAAGUUUUCGGUUAAAUCUAUGCGCUCAACGUAUAGGCUGCCGAAAAUACUGCAGAACUAGGGAGUGGGAGAGGUAGACGGUACUCGGUAGGAAGGGGUAAAAUCCUUUGAUCUAUUGAUGACCACCUGUGGCGAAGGCGGUCUACCAGAACACGUUCGACGGUGAGGGACGAAAGCUGGGGGAGCAAACCGG